rnacentral:rRNA from 1 species
AUUGAACGCUGGCUGCAGGCCUAACACAUGCAAGUCGAGCGGUAGCACAGAGAGCUUGCUCUCGGGUGACGAGCGGCGGACGGGUGAGUAAUGUCUGGGAAACUGCCUGAUGGAGGGGGAUAACUACUGGAAACGGUAGCUAAUACCGCAUAACGUCGCAAGACCAAAGUGGGGGACCUUCGGGCCUCAUGCCAUCAGAUGUGCCCAGAUGGGAUUAGCUAGUAGGUGGGGUAAUGGCUCACCUAGGCGACGAUCCCUAGCUGGUCUGAGAGGAUGACCAGCCACACUGGAACUGAGACACGGUCCAGACUCCUACGGGAGGCAGCAGUGGGGAAUAUUGCACAAUGGGCGCAAGCCUGAUGCAGCCAUGCCGCGUGUGUGAAGAAGGCCUUCGGGUUGUAAAGCACUUUCAGCGGGGAGGAAGGCGGUGAGGUUAAUAACCUCAUCGAUUGACGUUACCCGCAGAAGAAGCACCGGCUAACUCCGUGCCAGCAGCCGCGGUAAUACGGAGGGUGCAAGCGUUAAUCGGAAUUACUGGGCGUAAAGCGCACGCAGGCGGUCUGUCAAGUCGGAUGUGAAAUCCCCGGGCUCAACCUGGGAACUGCAUUCGAAACUGGCAGGCUAGAGUCUUGUAGAGGGGGGUAGAAUUCCAGGUGUAGCGGUGAAAUGCGUAGAGAUCUGGAGGAAUACCGGUGGCGAAGGCGGCCCCCUGGACAAAGACUGACGCUCAGGUGCGAAAGCGUGGGGAGCAAACAGGAUUAGAUACCCUGGUAGUCCACGCCGUAAACGAUGUCGAUUUGGAGGUUGUGCCCUUGAGGCGUGGCUUCCGGAGCUAACGCGUUAAAUCGACCGCCUGGGGAGUACGGCCGCAAGGUUAAAACUCAAAUGAAUUGACGGGGGCCCGCACAAGCGGUGGAGCAUGUGGUUUAAUUCGAUGCAACGCGAAGAACCUUACCUGGUCUUGACAUCCACAGAACUUUCCAGAGAUGGAUUGGUGCCUUCGGGAACUGUGAGACAGGUGCUGCAUGGCUGUCGUCGGCUCGUGUUGUGAAAUGUUGGGUUAAGUCCCGCGACGAGCGCAACCCUUAUCCUUUGUUGCCAGCGGUCCGGCCGGGAACUCAAAGGAGACUGCCAGUGAUAAACUGGAGGAAGGUGGGGAUGACGUCAAGUCAUCAUGGCCCUUACGACCAGGGCUACACACGUGCUACAAUGGCAUAUACAAAGAGAAGCGACCUCGCGAGAGCAAGCGGACCUCAUAAAGUAUGUCGUAGUCCGGAUUGGAGUCUGCAACUCGACUCCAUGAAGUCGGAAUCGCUAGUAAUCGUAGAUCAGAAUGCUACGGUGAAUACGUUCCCGGGCCU